UGGCAAAUGCAAAAGAAAAGGGCAAAUUGUGUGAUCAAAUACAACUCCCUGUAAACAAAGAUGGGUUGUGUGUUGAUUCUGAAUGCCAAAAUAAGUGUCGCGAGGCAAAAGGACCGAAGGGGUUGAGUAAAUGUUUUGGGUCAAAAGCCAAAAAGUCUAUGAAUUGCUAUUGCGGAAUUCUUUGUUAACGUGCUGGUUAAGUAUGGUGAAUAAAUAUGAUGCUCAACCAUGAUAGCUUUGAAGUAUUUUUUUUUAUUUUUCUCUGUUUUUUUUCCUGUACUAGAAAAACACUAUAAUAUUUUAAUUCGAAGCCUUAUAAUAAAGUAUUGAAAUGUUUGUUUCGGAUUUGUUGCAUUAUUUAUAAUAAUGAAUAACAUAAAUUUUAAUCAAGACACAAUGGUUAGUAUAAUCAGUGAACUUUUAUCUUUUUAUUGUAUUUAGUUAAUUCCGGCCAAUUGAACUUAAUAUCUUGUUCACUUAUUUUUUCUAUUUGGGCUAAAAUAAUAUUACCGUCCACAAAAAUAAGAAUCUGAAAGUGAAAUUAACUUUCUGAUUUUUUUUUUAAAU
rnacentral:lncRNA from 1 species